AGAGUUUGAUCAUGGCUCAGCCUGAACGCUGGCGGCGUGGCUAAGACAUGCAAGUCACACGGGGUAGCAAUACCCAGUGGCGAACGGGAGAGUAAUGAAUCGGUAACGUACCCCGGACUCUGGGAUAGCUACCCGAAAGGGUAGGUAAUACCAGUAUAACAUAACCUGCAGGCAUCUGCGGGUUCUCAAAGGUCCGCCGGUCUGGGAGCGGCCGAUUUCGUAUCAGCUAGUUGGUGAGGUAACGGCUCACCAAGGCGACGACGCGUAGCCGGACUGAGAGGUUGGCCGGCCUCAUUGGGACUGAGACACUGCCCAGACUCCUACGGGGGGCUGCAGUAACGAAUCUUCCGCAAUGCACGAAAGUGUGACGGAGCGACGCCGCGUGUGGGACGAAGCCCUUCGGGGUGUAAACCACUGUCAGGGGUUACCAAGUUCUGAGGAGCCCCAGAGGAAGGCACGGCUAACUCUGUGCCAGCAGCCGCGGUAAUAC
rnacentral:rRNA from 1 species